rnacentral:rRNA from 1 species
UGCCAGCAGCCGCGGUAAUACAGAGGGUGCGAGCGUUAAUCGGAAUUACUGGGCGUAAAGGGUGCGUAGGUGGCUAGGUAAGUUAGAUGUGAAAUUCCUGGGCUCAACCUGGGAAUGCCGUUUGAUACUGCUUGGCUAGAGUUCUGUAGAGGGAAGUGGAAUUUCCGGUGUAGCGGUGAAAUGCGUAGAUAUCGGAAGGAACACCAGUGGCGAAGGCGACUUCCUGGACAGAAACUGACACUGAGGCACGAAAGCGUGGGUAGCGAACAGGAUUAGAUA